rnacentral:rRNA from 1 species
GAUGAACGCUAGCUACAGGCUUAACACAUGCAAGUCGAGGGGAAACGGCAUUUAGUGCUUGCACUGAAUGGACGUCGACCGGCGCACGGGUGAGUAACGCGUAUCCAACCUUCCCAUUACUGUGGGAUAACCUGCCGAAAGGCAGACUAAUACCGCAUAGUCUUCGAUGACGGCAUCAGAUUUGAAGUAAAGAUUUAUCGGUAAUGGAUGGGGAUGCGCCUGAUUAGCUUGUUGGCGGGGUAACGGCCCACCAAGGCAACGAUCAGUAGGGGUUCUGAGAGGAAGGUCCCCCACAUUGGAACUGAGACACGGUCCAAACUCCUACGGGAGGCAGCAGUGGGGAAUAUUGGUCAAUGGACGAGAGUCUGAACCAGCCAAGUAGCGUGCAGGAUGACGGCCCUAUGGGUUGUAAACUGCUUUUGUAUGGGGAUAAAGUCAAUCACGUGUGAUUGUUUGCAGGUACCAUACGAAUAAGGACCGGCUAAUUCCGUGCCAGCAGCCGCGGUAAUACGGAAGGUCCGGGCGUUAUCCGGAUUUAUUGGGUUUAAAGGGAGCGUAGGCCGGAGAUUAAGUGUGUUGUGAAAUGUAGACGCUCAACGUCUGACUUGCAGCGCAUACUGGUUUCCUUGAGUACGCACAACGUUGGCGGAAUUCGUCGUGUAGCGGUGAAAUGCUUAGAUAUGACGAAGAACUCCGAUUGCGAAGGCAGCUGACGGGAGCGCAACUGACGCUUAAGCUCGAAGGUGCGGGUAUCGAACAGG